rnacentral:lncRNA from 10 species
GCAUAAGUGCCGUUGGAGUAGGAUGUUUGUUCAUUCACUACCACAGCAAUAAGCUGUGGGCACCGGGAGGCCUGGGAGGUCCUCAGUGUGUUAAAUUUCCAGAGUUGGCUUUGGGACCGUUCGCUGAGAAUCCUAAAUUGGAGAGAGCCCGUGAAUGGAACCUCAUUUGGAAAUAGGGGCUUGGCAGAGGCAAUGAAAGCUAAGAUGAGGUCCUGCUGGAAUUCUGGGACGAGGCUAAAUCCAGUGACUGGUGUCCUCAUAAGAAGAGGGAAAUCUGGACACACAGACACACAGAGGAGAAGGCCAUGUGGUGAUGGAGGCAGAAUCGAGUGAUGCAGCUGCAAGCCAAGGAAUGCUGGCAGCCAGCAGCAGCCAGAAGAGGCAAGGAAGGACCACCCCCCAGAGCCUUCUGAGGGAGCAGGGCCCUGCUGACACCUUGAUUUCUGCCUUCUGCCCUCCAGAACUGCAAGACAAUACAUUUCUGUUGUUUAAGGCUGCCUGGUUUGUGGUCAUUUGUCACAGCUGCCCUGGGAAAACCAGCUGGGUGAAGUGCAGGGGUGGGGAAGAUCCUUCCAGGCAGG